rnacentral:rRNA from 1 species
GACGAACGCUAGCAGGAGGCCUAACACAUGCAAGCCGAGCGGUAUUGUUUCUUCGGAAAUGAGAGAGCGGCGUACGGGUGCGUAACACGUGUGCAACCUGCCUUUAUCUGGGGGAUAGCCUUUCGAAAGGAAGAUUAAUACUCCAUAAUAUAUUGAACGGCAUCGUUUAAUAUUGAAAGCUCCGGCGGAUAGAGAUGGGCACGCGCAAGAUUAGCUAGUUGGUGAGGUAACGGCUCACCAAGGCGAUGAUCUUUAGGGGGCCUGAGAGGGUGAUCCCCCACACUGGUACUGAGACACGGACCAGACUCCGACGGGAGGCAGCAGUGAGGAAUAUUGGUCAAUGGGUGCAAGCUUGAACCAGCCAUCCCGCGUGAAGGACGACUGCCCUAUGGGUUGUAAACUUCUUUUGUAUAGGGAUAAACCUACCCUCGUGAGGGUAGCUGAAGGUACUAUACGAAUAAGCACCGGCUAACUCCGUGCCAGCAGCCGCGGUAA